rnacentral:rRNA from 1 species
AGAGUUUGAUCCUGGCUCAGGAUGAACGCUAGCGACAGGCCUAACACAUGCAAGUCUAGGGGCAGCACGGUGUAGCAAUACACGGGUGGCGACCGGCGCACGGGUGAGUAACGCGUAUGCAACCUGCCUACUACAAGGGGAUAACCCGUUGAAAGACGGACUAAUACCCUAUAACACAGGGAAUCCGCAUGGAUAUAUUUGUUAAAGAUUUAUCGGUAGUAGAUGGGCAUGCGUUCCAUUAGCUUGUUGGUGAGGUAACGGCUCACCAAGGCAACGAUGGAUAGGGGAACUGAGAGGUUGAUCCCCCACACUGGAACUGAGACACGGUCCAGACUCCUACGGGAGGCAGCAGUGAGGAAUAUUGGUCAAUGGACGAGAGUCUGAACCAGCCAAGUCGCGUGAAGGAAGACGGCCCUACGGGUUGUAAACUUCUUUUGUAAGGGAAUAAAUAGUCUUACGCGCUAAGACGUUGCAGGUACCUUACGAAUAAGGAUCGGCUAACUCCGUGCCAGCAGCCGCGGUAAUACGGAGGAUCCGAGCGUUAUCCGGAUUUAUUGGGUUUAAAGGGUGCGCAGGCGGCAUGUUAAGUCGGCGGUGAAAUUUUGCAGCUCAACUGUAAAAGAGCCUUCGAAACUGGCAAGCUUGAGUGUGGAUGAAGUAGGCGGAAUUUGUGGUGUAGCGGUGAAAUGCAUAGAUAUCACAAAGAACACCGAUUGCGCAGGCAGCUUACUAAACCAUAACUGACGCUCAUGCACGAAGGCGUGGGGAUCAAACAGGAUUAGAUACCCUGGUAGUCCACGCAGUAAACGAUGAUUACUGGCUGUUUGCGAUACAAUGUAAGCGGCUGAGCGAAAGCGUUAAGUAAUCCACCUGGGGAGUACGUUCGCAAGAAUGAAACUCAAAGGAAUUUGACGGGGCCCGCACAAGCGG